UACAGAGGUCUCAAGCGUUGUUCGGAUUCAUUGGGCGUAAAGGGUGCGUAGGUGGCGCUGUAAGUCGGGUGUGAAAUUUCGGAGCUUAACUCCGAAACUGCAUUCGAUACUGCGGUGCUUGAGGACUGGAGAGGAGACUGGAAUUCAUGGUGUAGCGGUGAAAUGCGUAGAUAUCUGGAGGAACACCGGUGGCGAAGGCGGCAUCCUGGACCAACACUGACGCUGAGUGAGCGAAAGCCAGGGGAGCAAACGGG
rnacentral:rRNA from 1 species